rnacentral:lncRNA from 1 species
AUGAGGUGGCCAAAGUACUGGAGUUUUAGCUUGAGCAUCAUUCCUUCCAAAGAAAUCCCAGGGCUGAUCUCCCUCAGAAUGGACUGGUUGGAUCUCCUUGCAGUCCAAGGGACUCUCAAGAGUCUUCUCCAACAUCACAGUUCAAAAGCAUCAAUUCUUCAGCUCAUCUCACACCCUAGUAAAGUAAUGCUUAAAAUUCUCCAAGCCAGGCUUCAGCAAUAUGUGAACCGUGAACUCCCUGAUGUUCAAGCUGGUUUUAGAAAAGGCAGAGGAACCAGAGAUCAAAUUGCCAGCAUUCACUGGAUCAUGGGAAAAGCAAGAGAGUUCCAGAAAAACAUCUAUUUCUGCUUUAUGGACUAUGCCAAAGCCUUUGACUGUGUGGAUCACAAUCAACUGUGGAAAAUUCUGAAAGAGUUGGGAAUACCAGACCAACUGACCUGCCUCUUGAGAAACCUAUAUGCAGGUCAGGAAGCAACAGUUAGAAUUGGACAUGGAACAACAGACUGGUUCCAAAUAAGAAAAGGAGUAUGUCAAGGCUGUAUAUUGUCACCCUGCUUAUUUAACUUAUAUGCAGAGUACAUCAUGAGAAACACUGGGCUGGAAGAAGCACAAGAUGGAAUCAAGAUUGCUGGGAGAAAUAUCAAUCACCUCAGAUAUGCAGAUGACACCACCCUAAUGGCAGAAAGUGAAGAGGAACUCAAAAGCCUCUUGAUGAAAGUGAAAGAGGAGAGUGAAAAAGUUGGCUUAAAGCUCAACAUUCAGAAAAUGAAGAUCAUGGCCUCUGGUCCCAUCACUUCAUGGGAAAUAGAUGAGGAAACAGUGGAAACAUUGUCAGACUUUAUUUUUUUGGGCUCCAAAAUCACUGCAGAUGGUGAUUGUAGCCAUGAAAUUAAAAGACGCUUACUCCUCAGGAGGAAAGUUAUGACCAAUCUAGAUAGUGUAUUCAAAAGCAGAGACAUUACUUUGCCAACAAAGGUCUGUCUAGUCAAGGCUAUGGUUUUUCCAGUGGUCAUGUAUGGUUGUGAGUAUUGGACUGUGAAGAAAGCUGAGCGCCAAAAAAUUGAUGCUUUUGAACGUGAUUGGAGAAGCCUGAGAGUCCCUGGGACUGCAGGGAGAUCCAACCAAUCCAUUCUGAAGGAAUCAGCCCUGGGUGUUCUUAGGAGGGAAUGA